CCUAAAAAACUUCAGAACUAGUUCCUGGUUUCGCCAUGGCCACUCAUAUAUUCCAGCAUAUGGUACCAACCUAUCACCUUUUAAAAAUAUCUUAUGAAUAAAUGUAAUCUUUUAUUUUCUGAUACAGUAUCUUGUUUUUUUAAACGACUAAUCAUAAAAAUGGACGAGCAUUUGUGGAUUAAGACAGAAAGAAACCAUAUGCACAAUAUGCACAACCACAGCAACCUCAUCACAUCCAUA